UACAGAGGGGGCAAGCGUUGUUCGGAAUUACUGGGCGUAAAGGGCGCGUAGGCGGCCUUCUAAGUCGAACGUGAAAUCCCCGGGCUCAACCCGGGAACUGCGUCCGAUACUGGAAGGCUUGAAUCCGGGAGAGGGAUGUGGAAUUCCAGGUGUAGCGGUGAAAUGCGCAGAUAUCGGGAGGAACACCAGUGGCGAAGGCGGCACUCCGGGCCAGUACUGACACUGAGGAGCGAAAGCGUGGGGAGCGAACAGG
rnacentral:rRNA from 1 species